rnacentral:rRNA from 1 species
AACGCGAAGAACCUUACCUACUCUUGACAUCCACGGGAGCUUUCAGAGAUGAAGGUGUGCCUUCGGGAACCGUGAGACAGGUGCUGCAUGGCUGUCGUCAGCUCGUGUCGUGAGAUGUUGGGUUAAGUCCCGUAACGAGCGCAACCCUUAUCCUUAGUUGCCAGCGAGUAGAGUCGGGAACUCUAAGGAGACUGCCGGUGACAAGCCGGAGGAAGGCGGGGACGAGGUCAAGUCAUCAUGGCCCUUACGAGUAGGGCUACACGCGUGUUACAAUGGACGGUACAAAGGGAAGCGAACCCGCGAGGGGGAGCGAAUCUUGUUAAAGCCGUUCGUAGUCCGGAUUGGAGUCUGCAACUCGACUCCAUGAAGUUGGAAUCGCUAGUAAUCGUGGAUCAGAACGCCACGGUGAAUACGUUCCCGGGCCUUGUACACACCGGUACUA